AUACGGAGGGUGCAAGCGUUAAUCGGAAUUACUGGGCGUAAAGCGCGCGUAGGCGGUUAGGUCAGUCGGGUGUGAAAGCCCCGGGCUCAACCUGGGAAUUGCAUCCGAUACUGCCUGACUAGAGUAUGAUAGAGGGUAGUGGAAUUCCCGGCGUAGCGGUGAAAUGCGUAGAUAUCGGGAGGAACACCAGUGGCGAAGGCGGCUACCUGGACCAAUACUGACGCUGAGGUGCGAAAGCGUGGGGAGCAAACAGUAUUAGAAACCCUUGUAGUCC
rnacentral:rRNA from 1 species